rnacentral:rRNA from 1 species
AGGACGAACGCUGGCGGCGUGCUUAACACAUGCAAGUCAUGGGGGCCCGCAAGGGCAACCGGCGAACGGGUGCGUAACACGUGAGCAAUCUGCCUAGAUGUGGGGGAUAGCCGGCCCAACGGCCGGGUAAUACCGCAUACGCUCUCCGAGUGGCAUCACUCGGUGAGGAAACCUCCGGGGCAUCUAGAGGAG